AUUGAACGCUGGCGGCAGGCCUAACACAUGCAAGUCGAGCGGAGCGGCGGACGGGUGAGUAAUGCCUAGGAAUCAGCCUGGUACUGGGGGAUAACGUAAGGAAACGGGAGCUAAUACCGCAUACUCUAAGAUGAGCCUAGGUCGGAUUAGCUAGUUGGUGGGGAAAAGGCCUACCACGGCGACGAUCCGUAACUGGGCUGAGAGGAUGAUCAGUCACACUGGAACUGAGACACGGUCCAGACUCCUACGGGAGGCAGCAGUGGGGAAUAUUGGACAAUGGGCGAAAGCCUGAUCCAGCCAUGCCGCGUGUGUGAAGAAGGUCUUCGGGUUGUAAAGCACUUUAAGUUGGGAGGCGUUACCGACAGAAUAAGCACCGGCUAACUUCGUGCCAGCAGCCGCGGUAAUAC
rnacentral:rRNA from 1 species